AGUGAACGCUGGCGGUAGGCCUAACACAUGCAAGUCGAACGGCAGCACAGUAAGCGCUUGCUCUUACGGGUGGCGAGUGGCGGACGGGUGAGGAAUACAUCGGAAUCUACUUUUUCGUGGGGGAUAACGUAGGGACACUUACGCUAAUACCGCAUACGACCUACGGGUGAAAGCAGGGGAUCUUCGGACCUUGCGCGAUUGAAUGAGCCGAUGUCGGAUUAGCUAGUUGGCGGGGUAAAGGCCCACCAAGGCGACGAUCCGUAGCUGGUCUGAGAGGAUGAUCAGCCACACUGGAACUGAGACACGGUCCAGACUCCUACGGGAGGCAGCAGUGGGGAAUAUUGGACAAUGGGCGCAAGCCUGAUCCAGCCAUACCGCGUGGGUGAAGAAGGCCUUCGGGUUGUAAAGCCCUGUUGUUGGGAAAGAAAAGCAGCAGGUUAAUACCCCGCUGUUCUGACGGUACCCAAAGAAUAAGCACCGGCUAACUUCGUG
rnacentral:rRNA from 1 species